GGGUCGAUGCCCGAGCGGUUAAUGGGGGCGGACUGUAAAUCCGUUGGCUAAGCCUACGCUGGUUCAAAUCCAGCUCGGCCCA
rnacentral:tRNA from 2 species